rnacentral:lncRNA from 1 species
AAUGCCUUUGAAAUAUAAGAAAAGAAAAAAAACAACAACAAACAAAGCUCUCCCUCGGUUUUGGCCCGAAGGCCUGUUCCCACUGCCCAGCUCGGCGCCCUUCCGUCGCGGCCCGACCCCUUCACCCCCGGCCUGCUAUCGCAGCCGUGUAGAGGCCUCUCGGCUAGGUGCUUGGUUGAUUCCCACCCAGUGCUCCAGCGCAGCCCGUCUUUUCCCUACUGGCCCAACAAGCCACC